CGGGGAAGACUUAGUCAUGUCUUAGCCCUGUCUCUCCAGGAGCUGGGCGAGAGCCUAGAGCUAAGUCUUGUUUUUCCCGGGACGAACCUAACAGACAUAAGGCUUACAUCAUUAGCUCCUCCUUCAUAUCAUGUAAGAGAAUAUUUGACCCUCUGAGGUCAAACUAGGACUGUCAUGGCAUUUUUUCAAAUCAGCAGAAGGGUGGUAACAUAUGCUAAAAUAUGUUGAAUCAUCUCAGGUUUCCAUAUAAUGAGGGUCUCCUGCUUUGGAAUGUCAUCUUUCCCUUAAAUUCCUGUCCUAGGUCCUAAGGAUUUUUAUGUUGUUGAACUUGAAUGCAGGUCCCAUUUUAUUUUUCACUUAAUUGCUUGAGGCGUAUCUGGUGCUUUUAUUUAUGCAAGCCUGCCCCAUUCCAUGAUGUUCUGAUGGCUUUCUCUAUCGAUUACUAACUGACAGUGGUCUCCCAAAGUUCCCUAGGUUUCCCUCUCUAUCCAUGGUCCCCUCCUGGGACUUCUACAACUACCUGUGUAACUAUCCUACUCUCUUCCUACCACUUCCCCUGAUAUUGUGAUAUUAUAAGAAAUAUAUAUUUGGUCUUUGUCUUCAGUUCCUGGCACAGAACUACUAAAAUCCUUGGAAUUUCCUGAAUGAUAGGGGUUAGGAGAGUGUCUUUGUUAUAUAUUUCAGCCAUACCUGAGUUUAUGCUAAUAAGGUGGCUCCUAGAGGGUGACAACUGGUUGUCAGAGGAACCAACAAAGCUGUGAGAGAGUUAGAACUUUCAGCCCCACCCUUGACCUCUGGGGAAGGAAAAGGAGUGGAGACUGACUAAUCACCAAUGGCCAAUACUAUAAUUGAUCAUAUGUAUGUAAUGAGGCCUCCAUUAAAAGCCUAAAUGAUGGGGUUUAGAGAGCUUGCAGGUCAGUGCCAUGUGCUGCAAGGUUAAGGGAACACAAUUUCACAGAGAUAAAAGCUUCUGAGCGCAGGACCCUCUGGACCUCACCCUGUGUACCUCUUCUUUUGGCUGUUCAUCUGUAUAUCCUUUAUAAUAAACCAGUAGUAGUAAGCAAAGUGUUUCCUUGAGUUCUGUGAGCUAUUAUAUCAAAUUAUCAAAUCUGAUGAGGAGGUUGUGGGAACUCCUGAUUUGUAGCCACGUUGGUCAGAAGUACAAAGGACUAGAAAUUAUGAUUGGCAUCUGAAGUGGGGGUGCUCUUAUGGCACUGUGCCCUUAACAUGUAGGGUCUGAUGCUAACUCCAGGUGGUUAGUGUCAGAAUUUAAUUAAAUUGUAGGACACCCAACUGGAGAAUUGGUUGGUUUGGGUAAAACAAAAUAAAACAAAAUAAAAACAAGCAAAGCUCACACAGUUGGUGUCAGGGUGUUGCGAGUAAAGAAACAAUUUUUUUUUUUAUCCUCCCUUCUUCUCUCUCUACUUCCUUAACACAUACAUGUAUUACAUACAUACAUAUAUAUAUAUGUAUGUAUGUAAUACAAACACACACACAUCCAUUCCCACCCCCAUUUAUCAGAAUUAGAUCUUUGCUCUUGUGCUCUAGUAUUCAUAGCCCCUGAAAGGAAUUAACAGUUUUUAGGGACUGAGAACCAAACUCUGAGCAGUAAGGACUUUUCUUUUCAUCUGAAAGGUGUACCCUUCAAGGAAGGAAGGGGCUGGGAUAGAAUCUCUAGAAACUGUAUUAUUCUGGAGAUGUCUGAACUUUGGCACACGGAGUAGGAGAGAGUGGAGUGGAAUGUCCAUGUCUCAGCUUGUGGACAGCAGGAAGCACCACUGAAAGGGCAACGCUGGAAAUGCCUGGGCCACAGAAAAAGAAGCAAUAGUGAAAUAGCAGCCAUAGAAUUACAGCUUCUUGCAGGGCUCUCCCAUAAUUCUAGGUAGAGCAAGGAACCUCAAAAAUGACAACAAUAUAUAUCAGCCUUGGUGAACGAUGGAUCUGGACCAGGAUUGCUUUGAUAAGAAAGGUAAGGAAAAAUUAUAGCGUCUGAACUGGAAGAAUGGCUAUCAUGACUCACAGGAUUCAGCUCAUUAUUGUACUCAUGACUAUGAUUUACUGCAGCGAAAGGAUAUCAAACAUGAUCAGCAAAGGGAAAAAAGUGCAUAAAGCAAAUCUUGGGAGACCAGGUGCAGCUCCCAGGGCCCUCUCCAGCGGAGCCUCAAGGCAUGUGCUUAAUUCUCCCAACAAGUUGAGAUGAUAUGUGUGAAAUGUUGCAAACAAGGAGAGUUCAUUAGAGACUUAUUGUCCGCAGGUUUUAAUGGGACCCUCUCUGCCUGGCAGAUACCCAGAUCUAGACUCCCAGAAGGAAAAUAUGCAUUCAUCGCAAGCCAUAUUGUCUGUACAAAUAGUUUAGGUACAGUGAGACACUCACUAUUAUUAACUGAUAAAAUUAGUCGUGGGAACCCUCCUGAAUUAUAACUUCUGGGACACCAGUCAAGGGCCACCUUUGUAAGCACACCUUUCAAAAGAUGGCAUCAGGUCUGCUACAUGAGCUUUUUUCUGCACAGCAUGGUUUUAAACUCUGGGUAGGACAAGUCUCUAGAAACUUUGUAUUACUCUUCCUUCAGAAUGUAUGGAAACCAUUGGUGGUUCUGACUGGACCUUUGUCUCAGUUGUAUACCCUUCGGAUUUUUAAUGUAUGGAGGUCACCAAUUAACAAUACAGAGAGGCUAAUGCCAUUGAAAGAAGAAUUUUUUACAGUUCCCAAGAGAAGGGUUGGAGGGACAGGCCAUGCCAGGCAGGGCCACAUGGAGAAGCACCUGGUCUGGUCGAAAGGCAGAAGGAAUAAAAGGAAAGCAUGGCUCAGAGUCUUUAUUGUGUUUCCUAUAAGAAAGGUAAGGCAGGGUGAACAAGGUCCUCUAUAGAAUUAACUAGCUCAGAUAAUGUCAAUGGGCUCUGGGCUCUAGGUUGCUCUCUGGUUUUCUGGUACUUGGCCCUAGACUGACCUAGGGGAGGGGAAAUUUGUCUUGGUGUAUGAGUUACAUAAAGGCAGUGGUUGAGGACAUGGACUUGGGAUUAGCUGGUUUGUAUAUGAAAGUCAUGUUUGUAGGUGAGUUAUUCCUUAUUAUCUCUAGGAAUCAGUCAGCCCUAGGAGGGACAUUCCUUCCCCUACCAGCAAGGCCCUUGAGAUGUCAAAACAUCAUAAAAUAAAAAAGCAUGACCACCACACACUUAUUCCAUUUGUGAGUAUUUACACAAGACAGAAACAAAUAGGGGCUGUCUGUUAAGAAUAAAGAAAGGAAAGACAAAUCCUCCAGCCUUGGCAACAUGAAGGAUGGAGAGCAAAAAGAUGGAAACAACUCAAGUACCCAUCAACAGAUGAACGGAUAAACAAAGUGUAGUAUAUACAUACAAUGGAAUAUUAUCCACCUUAAAAAGAAUAAAAUUCUAAUACAUUCUACAAGAUGGAUAAAGCUCAAAGACAUCAUGCUAAGAAAUUAACCAGACACACAAAGGAACAAAUGGUGUAUGAUACCACUUACAUGAAGUAACGAGAAUAGGCAAAUUCAGAGAGAUGAAAAGCAGAAUAAUGUUUACUGUGGGCAGAGGAAAAGGGAAAUUAUUUUUAAUGAGGACACGGUUUCUGUUUGGGAUGAUUAAAAAGUUCUGGAAAGAGAUAAUGGUGGUGGUCACACAACAUAUGAAUGUAUUUAAAUAACACCAAGUUGUAUGACUAAAAGUGGUUAAAAUGGUAAAUUUUAGGUUAUGCAUAUUUUACCACAAUAAAAAAAAAAGAAAAACACCAUGGGAUGAAUGACAGUUGAAAACUGAGAUGAUG
rnacentral:lncRNA from 1 species